rnacentral:rRNA from 1 species
UACGUAGGUGGCAAGCGUUGUCCGGAUUUACUGGGCGUAAAGAGCGCGCAGGCGGUCUAGUAAGUCGAAUGUGAAAGCCCCCCGGCUCAACUGGGGAGGGUCACGCGAUACUGAUCGACUCGAAGGCAGGAGAGGGUAGUGGAAUUCCCGGUGUAGUGGUGAAAUGCGUAGAUAUCGGGAGGAACACCGGUGGCGAAGGCAGCUCGCUGGGACGGUACUGACGCUGAGGCGCGAAAGCGUGGGAGCAACAGG